AGAGUUUGAUCCUGGCUCAGGACGAACGCUGGCGGCGUGCCUAAUACAUGCAAGUCGAACGAACUCUGGUAUUGAUUGGUGCUUGCAUCAUGAUUUACAUUUGAGUGAGUGGCGAACUGGUGAGUAACACGUGGGAAACCUGCCCAGAAGCGGGGGAUAACACCUGGAAACAGAUGCUAAUACCGCAUAACAACUUGGACCGCAUGGUCCGAGCUUGAAAGAUGGCUUCGGCUAUCACUUUUGGAUGGUCCCGCGGCGUAUUAGCUAGAUGGUGGGGUAACGGCUCACCAUGGCAAUGAUACGUAGCCGACCUGAGAGGGUAAUCGGCCACAUUGGGACUGAGACACGGCCCAAACUCCUACGGGAGGCAGCAGUAGGGAAUCUUCCACAAUGGACGAAAGUCUGAUGGAGCAACGCCGCGUGAGUGAAGAAGGGUUUCGGCUCGUAAAACUCUGUUGUUAAAGAAGAACAUAUCUGAGAGUAACUGUUCAGGUAUUGACGGUAUUUAACCAGAAAGCCACGGCUAACUACGUGCCAGCAGCCGCGGUAAUACGUAGGUGGCAAGCGUUGUCCGGAUUUAUUGGGCGUAAAGCGAGCGCAGGCGGUUUUUUAAGUCUGAUGUGAAAGCCUUCGGCUCAACCGAAGAAGUGCAUCGGAAACUGGGAAACUUGAGUGCAGAAGAGGACAGUGGAACUCCAUGUGUAGCGGUGAAAUGCGUAGAUAUAUGGAAGAACACCAGUGGCGAAGGCGGCUGUCUGGUCUGUAACUGACGCUGAGGCUCGAAAGUAUGGGUAGCAAACAGGAUUAGAUACCCUGGUAGUCCAUACCGUAAACGAUGAAUGCUAAGUGUUGGAGGGUUUCCGCCCUUCAGUGCUGCAGCUAACGCAUUAAGCAUUCCGCCUGGGGAGUACGGCCGCAAGGCUGAAACUCAAAGGAAUUGACGGGGGCCCGCACAAGCGGUGGAGCAUGUGGUUUAAUUCGAAGCUACGCGAAGAACCUUACCAGGUCUUGACAUACUAUGCAAAUCUAAGAGAUUAGACGUUCCCUUCGGGGACAUGGAUACAGGUGGUGCAUGGUUGUCGUCAGCUCGUGUCAUGAGAUGUUGGGUUAAGUCCCGCAACGAGCGCAACCCUUAUUAUCAGUUGCCAGCAUUAAGUUGGGCACUCUGGUGAGACUGCCGGUGACAAACCGGAGGAAGGUGGGGAUGACGUCAAAUCAUCAUGCCCCUUAUGACCUGGGCUACACACGUGCUACAAUGGAUGGUACAACGAGUUGCGAACUCGCGAGAGUAAGCUAAUCUCUUAAAGCCAUUCUCAGUUCGGAUUGUAGGCUGCAACUCGCCUACAUGAAGUCGGAAUCGCUAGUAAUCGCGGAUCAGCAUGCCGCGGUGAAUACGUUCCCGGGCCUUGUACACACCGCCCGUCACACCAUGAGAGUUUGUAACACCCAAAGUCGGUGGGGUAACCUUUUAGGAACCAGCCGCCUAAGGUGGGACAGAUGAUUAGGGUGAAGUCGUAACAAGG
rnacentral:rRNA from 1 species